GUCAGCAGCUCCUGAGGCACAGCAGAGAGCUCGGGGGAGAACAUUUGGAUCCCCAGCCAGCUGAAGCUUUGCCCCUCCUGGUGCAAUUCAGGCCAGUUUGAGAGUGAUUUUAUGAUAUCCUGAAAUGAAGCAUCCUUCUGAAUUAGUCGAGACCCAAAAUACCAUGGAAGUGCCUAUAACUGAGCUUGCAAAAAGGAGGACACUCAGACUGGGAGAUCCACGUGCCUCUCACGGAAUAUCCUGAGUCAGAAGGGACCCA